GAAACCGUUCGCUUCUCGAAACAGAUAAUGUCCACGGACAAAAAUCCAAACUUAUUUUCGCGCCGCAUGGAGGCUAUUGUUUAUAUAUCCGGACAGAUGAAGAUAAUUGCGAAAUCCCGAAGAUUCUUUCUCAGUUUACGUAGCGUUGUUCUUUUCACUGAGUGUUCUUUGUUCUAGUUCCGAGAAUUAUUGUUUUUGUUUGUUGUGUUUUAAAACUGGGGAUUUAUAUUUACGUGUGGUGAGAAACAUUUUUCCCUCCCGCAAACAAAUAAUUAAACUUUUGUUUGAAGUAUUUUUUUACGCAAGGAAGCUUUGUUUUUUGUUUUGCCUCAAGCAGCUACCUCGGGAUUAAAACUCAAACUUUCUCCCAGUUUUAAAUCUUAUCAAGUUGGACACCGCUCUCAUCACGUCAACAGGUUAAGGACACAAUGUUUCGUGGAGAGGUUUCGCUUGCUGUGGCAACAUUAUUUAUUUUUCUGUUGUGUCAAAAGAUUUCUGUGAUGGCACAAUUGUAUCAACAAGAUAUUCCCGGCGAAUACCAUGAAUUAUAUUCAUAUCCGGGGAGUAACGGACAAGUUCGAGAACAAAUUCCACUGAAAGAGCAAUUAGGGUAAGUCUUAACAAUUAACCUUACCCAAAUUCGCAUUAGCCAAUCAGAAGCCGUAUCUGCUUAACAACCAUUACACGAGCGCGCGUUAGAUUUGAGUAGGCUAUAAUCAUUUCAUAUCCAACAAGCGCGAGUGUAAUAAUCGUUUCAUUACCUCCCCC